CCCUUAGAUGUUCUGGGAUGCACGCGCGUUACACUGAUUCGUUCAACGAGUUUAUGACCUUGCCUGAUGAGGUGGGGGAAUCUUUUCAAAUCGCAUCGUGAUGGGGAUAGCGUAUUGUAACUGUUAGUCUUCAACGAGGAAUUCCUAGUAAGUACGUGUCAUCAGCUCGUACUGAUUAUGUCCCUGCCCUUUGUACACACCGCCCGUCGCUCCUACCGAUUGAGUGCUCAGGUGAAUAGUAUGGACUGCAUCAGUGUUCGGUCUCCGAAUGUUGACGCGAGAAAUUCUGUGAAUCUUAUUGCUUAGAGGAAGGAGAAGUCGUAACA
rnacentral:rRNA from 1 species